AUAUUCUGUCUUUAUUUAUGAUAAGUAAUUGAGAUUAAAGAAUGGAUUAGGUUAUUUUGAUUUCCUUUGAUGGAUUUGUUUGUGAUCUCUAAUCCAAAAUUUUUAUUAUCAAGUAUAUUAACCAUAAAUGAGUUAGGGUCCAUUGAUGUGAAUCAGUGACUUCAAAUUGUGGCAGUGACAUCAAUUUGUUAUGUAGAUGGAUUCUAUAUAGCACCAUGGGCAUUGAGUGGGUAGAUUAAGUGUUUCACUGUACAUUGAAUAUUGGUGGUUUGUUUCGUUGUCAUAUCACCCCCUUGCAUAACUUCAUUGAUUAGACAUUGAUAUUCUUUUCUUGAUUGUUUGUUACUAAAGAAUUUCAAUAAACUUACGUGAUGGAAUUGGACUUGAAACUUUGGUAAUCAUCUCCAAACAUCAUCGUUACAGGGAUGAUGGGGAGGAGAAGGAGCAGAUUUUAACUUAUUAUUAUGUCAUGUCUUGACAUUUUCAGCUUUGUAGCUUUUAUCUUUCUUUUUAGUGUUAUGAGACUUUAUGCGUACUUUAUUAAACACAUUGAUGAAUCUCAUUUGAUAUAAUAUAUUUCUAAUUUGCUACCUUUAUUUUAUUAGCUUUUCUUAUUAUGUUUGGCAAUUUUUUUCUGUUUUAUUUUUUCAAUUUGCAUUGUAUGCUUCCAUAUUUGUCUGCAGUGUUGUCUAUCAUAUUGUGUGGCAGAUUUUUGUUUUUCUUCCAUGAACUGCCAAAAAGGUUGUAUAUUCAUGGUAAAUAAAGUUUUAGGGACUAAAAUUAAUAAUGAGCAUAAUUGUUAAGUCAGAAGUUGUCUAUAUCAUAUAUCUAUUUGGAAGAAAUGAAGUAACCGAAAAUAAUAUGUGCUACAUUUUGAACUGUUGGAGAUCCCACAUCGAUUGGAUAUGUGAGUAAAUUGCAAUUUAUAAGUGGGCGUAAACCUUUCAUUACAAAAUAAUUUUGAGGUUGAGUUAGAUUUGAAGUCCACUUCCUAAUAUGGUAUCACGGUAUAUCUUUGCAAAGUAGUUUGUUAGACUUACUGUGCCAUCUACCAUCGAGCCGUUAUCGAACCACUGACAAGUGUUUGUUUCCACAAGAGUGUGUUGAAGAUCCCACAUUGACUAGAUAGAUGAUUAAAUUAUGAUAUAUAAGUAGGUACAAAUUUCACUUUACAAAUAAGUUUUGUGACAUUGAGUUAGGUUAAUAGUCCAUGUUUUAAGACCUGAAUCUACUUUCUUCUCUCGUCAUCCAUAUGAGGAUGAAGUCUCAUGUGAAGCAUACUCUUGUUAAUGUUAUGGGAAAGUGAAGUUUUUGGAGGAUUAAGACCCUCACAUCAUGAGCACAAAGUGAAAGAACCUAUUAGAGAAGGAUAUGUCUUGGAUCUGAUGGGGAAGUAAAAAGGUUGAGCUAGAUGUUGUCAGAGCCUAUAUGUUAGGUUCCUUUACUCAAGGAACGUAAUAGAUGAACAAUCCACACACACACUCCCAACAGGAAGAAAGAAAGGUAUGAAUAUAAACUGUAUUUAUCUGUAAAAGUAUGAAUGAACAGUAAACAAAAGAGUAUUUCCCAAGGAAGCCUCCCUUCCUCCACUGGAAUCACGCCCCAGUCUCUACCUAAAAGGCACCCAAAAAGAUAAGAUCCCCUCUCCCUAUUCUGAUUCUUAUUUAUUCUCUCUCUCUUCUAACAACCCGUAACCCACCUUGCUCCUAACACGUGUUUGUCUCACCCCCUACGUGUUUGCCUUGCUCCCUACUCUCCUUACAUGUGUUUAGCUGACUCCUCUUUUAUUCUUCCUUGUAUAGACCUUUAAUGGUCUAACAUUACCCUCCUCCCCAACAUCAACCUUGUCCUCAAGGUUGAAGUGAGGGAGCUGCUGGCGGAUGUAGUGUUCGUCUUCCCAUGUAGCCCCUUCAACAUCAUCCUUCUGCCAUUGUAUUAAGACUUGGGGUAUCACCUUCCCCAGUUCCUGCUGGUUCUUGCGUUGAAGCACUUUCAGAGGAGUGUAAGUGUGUCUAUCCUCCUGCAAAUCAUUUGGCAAAACUUCCUCCACCUUAUGAUCUCCUACCGCUAGUUUCAAUUGAGAAACAUGAAACACAGGAUGUAUUCUUGAAGAUUCUGGUAACUGCAGCCUAAAUGCAACGGAUCCUAUUUGUUUUUCCACCAAAAACGACCCAUAAUAUCUUGCUGAAAGUUUGGGAUGCAGUGUUGUGGGCAUAGAUGCUCGUCUAUGAGGUCUGAUUUUAAGGAAUACCAAAUCGCCUUCCUUGAUUUUGGCCGCCACCCUCUUCUUAUUAGCAUGAUGAGUCAUCUGAUCCUGAGCCCGUGCCAAGUGAUANUUCAAUUGCUGCAAUGCCUCAUCACGGGUUUGCAAAUCCUGAGCAACUGCAUCCACCACCGUUUCUCCUGGUAUGUAACGUGUCAAUGUAGGAGGAGGUCUUCCAUACACCGUUUCAAAGGGAGUGCAUUUGGUCGCGCCUUGGUACGUGGUGUUAUACCAAUAUUNAGCCNAAGGUAACACCAAGCNCCAACUCUUGGGCUGUUCGGAGCUGAAACAGCGCAGAUAAGUUCCCAACACCCUGUUCAACACUUCCGUCUGGCCAUCUGUCUCUGGGUGAUAGGCUGUGCUCAUCCUGAGUUGUGUACCCUGUAAACGAAAAAUCUCUUGCCAAAAUACACUCAUAAAAGUCGAAUCUCUAUCACUAACAAUGGUUACCGGUAUCCCAUGAAGUCUAAUCACUUCCUUCACAAACACCUCCGCUAUGGAUCNAGCUGUAUAAGGGUGUUUAAUUGCAAUAAAAUGUCCAUACUUGCUGAGCCUGUCCACCACCACUAAUAUAGUAUCAAAUCCAUGAGACUUGGGUAGUUUCACUAUAAAAUCCAUACUGAUCUCCUCCCAUAUUGCUUGUGGUAUAGGCAGGGGUUGUAAAAGUCCUUGGGGAGAUGCUGCUAGAUAUUUGUGCUGUUGACAUACUAAACAUGCAGCCACAAAAUCCGUAAUUGUUUUCUUCAUUCCCACCCAGUGUAAUGAUUGCCCCACUCUUCUGUAGGUUCGGUAGAUCCCCGAAUGUCCUCCAGUUACCCCACUGUGAAAGUCAGCUAUAAUCUUUGGUAUCCAAACCGAAUGUGGGGAUAAAACCAGCCGCCCUUUGUAGUGUAAUCUGCCAUGUUCCAGAGUGUAUGCAGGGUGGGACUCUGGAUCUGUUCUUAUAUCUGUUAACACCUUGCUGAGGUUCUCAUCCUUCUCCACCUCUUCCAUGAUCUCUUUAAAAUCAGCCCAGUAUGGCUUGGAUAUCAUCCCUAACAUCUUUUCUUCUUCUUCCCACUCUGCUCCUUUUCGUGAAAGUCCAUCUGCCACACAAUUAGAUGCUCCUGUCCUAUAUUUUAUCUCAAAUUCAUAUCCAAGGAGUUUAGCUAGCCAAUUUUGCUGACUUUGGGUAGUUAUCCGUUGUUCUAGUAAGUGCUUCAAGCUCUUUUGAUNAGUAAAAACCACAAAUUUUUGGCCCAAUAGGUAUGGCCUCCAAUGUUGUAUAGCAAGCACCAACGCCAUCAAUUCCUUUUCAUAGAUGGAUUUGGUUAAAGAUGAUUCUGAUAAAGCCUUACUAAAGAAAGCUAUGGGUUUAUUUCUCUGUGACANCANUGCUCCCANUCCAUUCCCCGAUGCAUCACACUCUACACAAAAUGUUUGAUCAAAGUCAGGCAGAAUCAAAACUGGAGNUGUUGUUACCGCCUCUUUCAGUUUCUUCAUGGCUUCGGAUCCUGCUACCGUCCACUUAAACAUCCCCUUCUUNAGCAAUUCAGUGAGGGGUCUUGCCAUCUUCCCAUAGUCACGGAUAAAUCUUCUGUAAUACCCAGUCAAACCUAAAAAACCUCGUAACUCCUUGAUAGUCUUAGGUUNUGGCCAAUCUAACACUGCUGCAACCUUAUCUCUAUCCAUCUCAACCCCUGCUGCCGAUAUCUUAUGCCCCAGAUAUUUCACCUGUCUUUUGCCAAAUUCACAUUUCUUCUUAUUGGCAUAGAGUUUGUGCUCAUUUAACACCUUUAAGACUUGCACCAAAUGUUGUGAAUGUUCAUCCCAUGUCUUGCUAUAGACAAGAAUGUCAUCAAAGAAUACCAAUACGAAUUUCCUUAGAAAGGAUCUCAAAACCGAGUUCAUCAUAUCUUGAAAGGUGGCUGGGGCAUUUGUUAGCCCAAAAGGCAUAACCAGAAAUUCAUAAUGUCCUUGGUGCGUCCUAAAAGCUGUCUUAUGGAUGUCUUCAUUCUUCAUCCUUAUUUGAUGAUAUCCAGCCUNCAGAUCCACUUUUGAAAAAUAGGAUGCCCCCUGAAGCUCAUCCAACAACUCCUCAAUAACGGGAAUAGGAUAUUUAUCCGCUACCGUCACCCUGUUUAAUGCUCUGUAAUCCACACAAAAUCUCCAGCUUCCAUCUUUUUUUUUUUCACCAAUAUAACUGAGCUAGAAUAAGGGCUGUUACUGGGCCUGAUAAUUCCCAGGUUCAGCAUCUCCUCCACUUGUCUCUCUAUUUCCGACUUCAUUCCAUGGGGGUAACGGUAUGGCCUUACGUUCACAGAUUCACUCCCUUCUUUCAAAGGAAUUCGAUGAUCAACUCUUCUCUUCGGUGGCAGCCCUUGGGGUUCUUUAAACACUCCUUCAAAAUCACUGAUAAUCUCUUCCAAUUUGACCUCUUCUUCAUCAUGAUUUAAAUCGCUAACUUCCAUCUCCCCUUCUCUCAGUUCUGCUUGACUCAGACUCCAAACUAAUGUCAUGAUUUCAAUCUCGGUCUCCUUCAAAAGGGCUUCUGGUGUCACCAUUUUACGUGUCAGGGAUGGAUCCCCUUUGAUCACCACCUCUUCUCCCUCUUGCUCCACCUUCAUAAUGAGCUUUCUCCAGUCCACCUUGAUUUCUCCCAGGGAGGCUAACCAUGUAACCCCCAAUAUCACAUCCACACCUCCCAGCUCAAACAAAUAUAAUUUAUCUCUAAUCUCCAGCCCCUCCAAUUUCAUGGGUACUCCAACGCAACAUCCCCUGGCCAUUUUUCUCUGCCCAUCGCCUAAACACACUUUAUAUAAUGGUGUAUCGACCCACGGUAAUCCCAAUUCCUCCACUAAAUUGGUGGAAAUAAAGCUAUGACUAGCUCCACUGUCAAUUAGCACCAGAACCUUCUUCCCCUGCACCCAGCCUUGUAACUUCAUUGUAUUAGAUUGUGUGAGCCCUCCGGCAGACAACUCUGAUAAUUCCAUUGUCGUUUGUGCAAUCUCAGCAUUCUCCUCUGCUUCUUCCUCUUCAUCCCCCUCAGCCAAUAUCAUAAUACGCAUACUCCUUUCAGCGCAGCGAUGGCCCGGACUGUAAGGCCCACCGCAGUGAAAACAACGACCUUCUUCACGCCGUUUAAUAAACUCUGGGUAUGGCAGAGUGCGUACUCCUCUUCCUGCAUUUCCUCCUCCGCUACUCCCUGCUUUCGAAUUUCCCCUAACCGCACUAGCAUCCUUCUUAGUGCCUCCGCCGCCGUUCCCGGAACCCUCCGACGAGCCUCGAUACGUUUCCGUUCUCGCAAUUGUCCCGGAACUCGCGGAAUACCUUCCCCACGAUGCCCCUCCUUUUCCUCCAAUUCCACCACUCACUCGUGGCACCAACCCCGCCUGUUCAACAUCGCGUGCUCUCUCCAUCGCUGUCAGCAAGUCGCGUGGGUCGUGCGGUCGCACUAAAUUUCGUAGCCCCUCCUGCAACCCAGCAAAGAAAUAUCCCAAUAGUUGCUCUUCCGUCACUCUGGUUGUUUGUGCUACGAGUGUUUCGAAUUCAUGAAUAUACUCAUCUACACUCCCUCGCUGUCGCACCGCAGCAAGCUUUUCGAAGACGGUGCCCCGAUUCAAUCCUCCAAACCUCCGUGUUAGCGCCUCUGUAAACAACUUCCAGGUUGGGUGUUUGGUUUUUUUCCUCCAGAAGCGGAACCAAUAGUUUGCACUUCCCUCCAUACAUAUAUAAAUCAACUUCAUCUUCUCCUUCUCUGUCACUUCCUGUAUGUCGAAGAACUUCUCAGCCUUUGCUAUCCAGCCCAUGGGGUCAAUCCCUUCAAAAGUUGGAAGCUCAACACGCUUCAUCCAGCUGCGAUGGAUUUCCCUUCGUUCGUCUUCCGAUUCUUCCUCCGACGUCUCCGACGAGCGUUGCUCGCGUUCGCCACUAACAGACUCUCGACUCCCUUCCGAGCUCCGGUCUCGGUUCUUGGAGCGUCUUCGAAAGGCUCGUCGAAACUCGUUGGUCAUUUCUCGCAUCUCCGCCUUUAACUCUUCCACCGUCGACUCCAUCGCCACCAUUCGCCCCUCCAUUUUUCGUCGCUCCAGCUUCCUCCGAUCCGGCAGGUCGGACCAAACCUGUUAGGUUCCUUUACUCAAGGAACGUAACAGAUGAACAAUCCAUACACACACUCCCAACAGUAAGAAAGAAAGGUAUGAAUAUAAACUGUAUUUAUCUGUAAAAGUAUGGAUGAACAGUAAACAAAAGAGUAUUUUCCAAGGAAGCCUCCCUUCCUCCACUGGAAUCACGCNNNNNNNNNNNNNNNNNNNNNNNNNNNNNNNNNNNNNNNNNNNNNNNNNNNNNNNNNNNNNNNNNNNNNNNNNNNNNNNNNNNNNNNNNNNNNNNNNNNNNNNNNNNNNNNNNNNNNNNNNNNNNNNNNNNNNNNNNNNNNNNNNNNNNNNNNNNUCUCUCUCUCUUCUAACAACCCGUAACCCACCUUGCUCCUAACACGUGUUUGUCUCACCCCCUACGUGUUUGCCUUGCUCCCUACUCUCCUUACACGUGUUUAGCUGACUCCUCUUUUAUUCUUCCUUGUAU
rnacentral:lncRNA from 1 species